rnacentral:lncRNA from 1 species
GUUUUUUUUAUAUGACGUGAUCAUGUAUUCUAAUACUUCAUCUGGUGCAUCAUACAUCCACAUUUUUUUUAUAUGACGUGAUCAUCUAUUAUUACUAUCUAUUAAAUUAGAGUUGGUGGUGAUGGUAAGGUCGCGGUCGCCGUAGGUUAACUUCGUUAAAAUUACAACCAAUAUGCCACUGUCCGUUAUUUUUUUUCCUCCAGUUAAAAUUACAACCAAUAUGCCACUGCCCGUUAUUUUCUUUUCCUCCAGUUUUUAUCACGAUUUUUCCUACUCCAUCUUACAACCGACGCCACCACACCCGCAUGCCGACCUCGACAGUGCCAUGAGUUGCCUACACAGAAAAUAAAAAUAAAUAGUUUGUGAUUUUAUUAACCCGUAGUAACGCGCCGGCACACCUGCUAGCUAUCUAUUAAAUUGGAGUUGGUGGUGAUGGUACGGUCGUCGUCACAGUAGGUUAAUUUCGUUAAAAUUACAACCAAUAUGUCAUUGCCCGUUUUUUUUUCCUGCAGUUUUUUUUUCACGAUUUCUCCUACUCCAUCUUACAACCGACGCCACCACACCCGCAUGCCAACCUCGACGGCGCCAUGAGUUGCCUACACAAAAAAUAAAAAUAAAUAGUUUGUGAUUUUGUUGACCCGUAGCAACGCGCGGGCACACCUACUAGUGUAUUCUAAUACUUCAUCUGGUGCAUCAUACAUCCACGUUUUUUUUAUACGACGUGAUCAUGUAUUCUAAUACUUUAUCUGGUCCAUAAUAAGUGUCUUAAAUUUGCGUUAAAAAAUGUCUUAAAUUUGGUACACAGUUGGUAUAGUUUUGACGGGCUGAUUCUUUUGAAGGAAAGAAAAAAUCUUAUAUCCAUCCGUCGUUCCUUCCACAGUCCUCCUACUUCCAACUCGUCAAAAUUAUAGUGGCCUAUAUCAAAUUAUCCUACACUUAAAUUUUAAUGCCAUGUCUAUACUAUUUUAUACGAACAUCAUUUUUAUGUAUUUACUGACAGAAAUUUAGAUAUUUAAUAAAGCUUGAUCUUCCCUAUAUUUUUCCAAUUUGUUGUUUUGCCAUUACUUAGAGGGCAUGAUUUCUAGUUUCACCCCGGACCCUCGAAAACCCAUGACCGGCCCUAGGGACCAUAGGAGGAAUAAAUGAUCGGCAUAAGUUUUUUGUUUGCAAAAGCCAUGCCACCAAGUCAUUCUAGAGUCUGUGGAGCGGGGUCCGAGUUGUUAGAAUGUGAGGCUCUGCCACUGAGGUCAUACCGUAAAAGAACUAUAUGUGAGUGCAUGAUGCAAGUUCGAGUAUCUCGAUAGACAAUUUAUGCCACCAAGUCGUUCUGGAGUCUGCGGAGCAGGGUCCGAGUUGUUAGAAUGUGAGGCUCUGCCACUGAGGUCAUACCGUAAAAGAACUAUAUG